UACAGAGGGUGCGAGCGUUAAUCGGAAUUACUGGGCGUAAAGCGUGCGUAGACGGUUAUGUAAGUCGGAUGUGAAAGCCCCAGGCUCAACCUGGGAAGUGCACCCGAUACUGCAUGGCUCGAGUACUGGAGAGGUUGGUGGAAUUCUCGGUGUAGAGGUGAAAUUCGUAGAUAUCGAGAGGAACACCGGUGGCGAAGGCGGCCAACUGGACAGAUACUGACGCUGAGACACGAAAGCGUGGGGAGCAAACAGG
rnacentral:rRNA from 1 species